GGGAUCGAAGAUGAUUAGAUACCAUCAUAGUCUUAACCGUAAACGAUGCCGACUUGCGAUUGUCCGAUGGUUUUUCUUUAGCCGUGGGCAGCAGCACAUGAGAAAUCAAAGUCUUUGGGUUCCGGGGGGAGUAUGGUCGCAAGGCUGAAACUUAAAGGAAUUGACGGAAGGGCACACCAGGAGUGGAGCCUGCGGCUUAAUUUGACUCAACACGGGGGAACUUACCAGGUCCAGACAAAGUAAGGAUUGACAGAUUGAGAGCUCUUUCUUGAUUCUUUGGGUGGUGGUGCAUGGCCGUUCUUAGUUGGUGGAGUGAUUUGUCUGGUUAAUUCCGAUAACGAACGAGACCCCAACCUGCUAACUAGAGCGCAUUAUGGUAACAUAGUGUGAUACUUCUUAGAGGGACAUUUCGGGUAUACCGGAAGGAAGUUCGAG
rnacentral:rRNA from 1 species